GGCUUUGACGGGUAACCGGCCUGAGAGGGUGACCGGUCACAUUGGGACUGAGAUACGGCCCAGACUCCUACGGGAGGCAGCAGUGGGGAAUUUUGCACAAUGGGCGAAAGCCUGAUGCAGCGACGCCGCGUGAGGGAUGACGGCCUUCGGGUUGUAAACCUCUUUCGCUCAUGGUCAAGGCUAGUUUUUGUUCUAGUUGAGGGUAGUGGGUAAAGAAGCGCCGGCUAACUACGUGCCAGCAGCCGCGGUAAUACGUAGGGCGCGAGCGUUGUCCGGAAUUAUUGGGCGUAAAGGGCUUGUAGGCGGCUUGUCGCGUCUGCCGUGAAAUCCUGGGGCUUAACCUUGGGCUUGCGGUGGGUACGGGCUGGCUUGAGUGCGGUAGGGGAGACUGGAAUUCCUGGUGUAGCGGUGGAAUGCGCAGAUAUCAGGAGGAACACCGGUGGCGAAGGCGGGUCUCUGGGCCGUUACUGACGCUGAGGAGCGAAAGCGUGGGGAGCGAACAGGAUUAGAUACCCUGGUAGUCCACGCUGUAAACGUUGGGCACUAGGUGUGGGGGCCACCCGUGGUUUCUGCGCCGUAGCUAACGCAUUAAGUGCCCCGCCUGGGGAGUACGGCCGCAAGGCUAAAACUCAAAGGAAUUGACGGGGGCCCGCACAAGCGGCGGAGCAUGCGGAUUAAUUCGAUGCAACGCGAAGAACCUUACCAAGGCUUGACAUGCACCGCGACACUGCAGAGAUGUGGUGGCCUUCGGGGUGGUGUGCAGGUGGUGCAUGGUUGUCGUCAGCUCGUGUCGUGAGAUGUUGGGUUAAGUCCCGCAACGAGCGCAACCCUUGCCCUAUGUUGCCAGCACGUGAUGGUGGGGACUCGUGGGGGACUGCCGGGGUUAACUCGGAGGAAGGUGGGGAUGACGUCAAAUCAUCAUGCCCCUUAUGUCUUGGGCUUCACGCAUGCUACAAUGGCUGGUACAGAGGGUUGCGAUACUGUGAGGUGGAGCGAAUCCCUUAAAGCCAGUCUCAGUUCGGAUUGGGGUCUGCAACUCGACCCCAUGAAGGUGGAGUCGCUAGUAAUCGCAGAUCAGCAACGCUGCGGUGAAUACGUUCUCGGGCCUUGUACACACCGCCCGUCACGUCACGAAAGUUGGUAACACCCGAAGCCCAUGGCCUAACC
rnacentral:rRNA from 1 species